CAAUUCAUUGUUGUCCCAGUGAUCCCAGGCUAAAGGACAGUCCCCAGUUUCCUAUUAUAGAACCUAUGAUGUUACCCGCCUGGCCUCUGCAGGCAUUUCAGUCUGUGACCCUGGAUUCCUGAUUAGUACUUUUUCAAGCUUCCCAGGGCCUUCUGCGGUGCUGUCCUGAACUAACCAGAGAGCAGUCCCCUAAACAGCCUGGUAUGGGUUGAAUCAGGCCCCACCAAAAAACAAGGAAACUGAGAAUUUAAGCAACUUGCUUAAGAUGAACGCAUCACCUAGUUAUGGUGCUGGAUCUUACACCUGGCAUUUGAAAUGGCAAAAACCAAGAUAUCAUGUGGCUGUAUAUAUAAAUGAGCUCAGCCUUUGAAGAAAGACAUGGACCACCAGAAGAAGGUGAUGAGUUUAACACUGGACUUGCUGGAAGAAAGAUCGGGUUUGACACUGGAGGAGCGGUUUCCCAUUGAUUCUGAAGUAGAAGGGACACUACAGAACAAGAUAUAUGGAUGCUGAACAGAAGACUAGAGUCAGGAGACCAGACAUGUCCUUGACUACAGAACCUUGGAUGAGUUAUUUCCCCUGCGCUGGCCUCAGCUUAUUGCAAUAAUGCUCUGUUACUAGGAUUUGGGUCUGAAAAAUCAGUUAAAGCUGAACACCAUUAGUUGAUCUUUGCAUGCUUUUUUUUUUUUGUAUGAAUCUCCUUGUGACAGUCAGAAUUUUAAGAUGAGCUUCAAUGACCCUCUCAACCUUGUAUAAUCUUCUUUUCUUUGAGUGUGGGUGGAACCAGUGAAUAUGUGAUAUCACUUAUAUGAUUAGGUUCUGUUAUAUGGUAGAAGGGUGAAAAUUUGGCAGGGGUUGACCUAAUCAAAUGAGCUUUAAGAAAAAAAAAAAAAAGAAAGUGUUCUAAACCCUAAAUGCUACGUGUAUCUAAACACAUGUAAACAUAGAAAAGGUACAGUAAAAAUAUGAUAUUGUAAUUUUAUGGGAACACUGUCAUAUAUGUGGCCUGUCGUUGUCCAAAACGUCAUUAGGUGGUGCAUGACUGUAUCUAAAGUAAAUGAUUUGAUGAGUUUUGACUUAUGUAUACAUUAAUGAAGUUAUCAUUGCAAUCGAGAUAAUGAACAUAUCCGUCAGCCCAGAAGUCUGUUUUUUCCCUUUAAUAAGUCCCAAAACCUCUCCACCCAUGUUAUCCAGGCAAUCACUGGUUACUUUCUGUUCUAUAAAUUCUUUGUAUUAUGUAUGGGUUUUCUUUGUUUGGUGUGGGGAAGGUCUGUCUUUUUUGACUCUGUGUAAUUAUUUUGAGUUUGAUUCAUAUUGUUGCAUAUGUAAUUCUUUCCUUUUUAUUGUACAGAUAUACUACAAAUGUUUAUCUGGUUACCUAUUAAUAUUGGAUUUUUAUGCUUUUGGCUGUAUAAAUAAAGCUACUCUGAACAUUUGUCUAUAGUUCUUUGUGAGGAUAUGUUUUUCCUUUCUCUUGGAUAAAUAUUUAGGAGGGCAAUGG